rnacentral:rRNA from 1 species
GAUGAACGCUGGCGGCGUGCCUAAUACAUGCAAGUCGAGCGAACGGACGAGAAGCUUUCUUCUCUGAUGUUAGCGGCGGACGGGUUAGUAACACGUGGAUAACCUACCUAUAAGACUGGGAUAACUUCGGGAAACCGGAGCUAAUACCGGAUAAUAUUUUGAACCGCAUGGUUCAAAAAUGAAAGACGGUCUUGCUGUCACUUAUAGAUGGAUCCGCGCUGCAUUAGCUAGUUGGUAAGGUAACGGCUUACCAAGGCAACGAUGCAUAGCCGACCUGAGAGGGUGAUCGGCCACACUGGAACUGAGACACGGUCCAGACUCCUACGGGAGGCAGCAGUAGGCAAUCUUCCGCAAUGGGCGAAAGCCUGACGGAGCAACGCCGCGUGAGUGAUGAAGGUCUUCGGAUCGUAAAACUCUGUUAUUAGGGAAGAACAUAUGUGGAAGUGACUGUGCACAUCUUGACGGUACCUAGUCAGAAAGCCACGGCUAACUACGUG